AAACCACACAGGGCCUGGGGAAGCCACAUGUUCCUCGCCCACCAGUGCAAUUGAUGGCACUUGCUGAGGGAAGCCUCCCCAAGCUCAGUUCCUGGGAUGUCUCUGGUUCCCAGGAGGAAAUGCCAUAAGACGGAGAAUGGAGCCACGGCCAAUUACAUAACUGUGCGAUACCUGUUUCCUAGCAACUGAAGCUCAACUGAAAAUAAGAUGUUCAACAGGCGCCUAUCAACCUGCAACUGAUCCUUAUUCAUGGAUGAAUGCUCCUCCAUCUUCACAUUCAUUAGCUUCCUGUGUUAUUGGUCAAAGAGCUGCUGUUUCCCAGAGAGAGCGAGCAGUGUUUUCUAUAAAUGGACACUGACCCCUCCAAGUGCCUUUAUAGCAACUGUGAGCAGAACAUUAGCCAGUGUGUUGCAUUCUGCCUCGUCAGCACAAAGGCAGCUGUUCACAGGAAGAGCCUGGACUCACUUUGGAUUGCAGCCCUGCCGACAGAGUUAGGCACAGAGCCUGGAGAGAGGAGAGGAGCGCCAGUGGCAGUGAAGCAGUAUGUUCCUGGACUGUUAAAUUCACAAUAACAAUGUCAACAGACCUGGCAAACUUCCUGUUCCCCACCUUCAAGUUGAGCUGAGUUGACAAUCUUUCAGAGGAGAUAUUUUAAGUUCAAGUGGAUACGUCAUUUGCAGAUAUGAUUUAAAUGUAUCCUGCUACAUGUACCCGUAAAACACAAACUAAGUGGGAUUGAGUCUUGACUAAUUUUACCACCCAACAGAAGUGGUAAAACAAUGACCAUGUAUAUGCAAAUGCAGAAUUCUAGUAUAAGACAGAUUCAUUUUUUCAGGUCAACUAGAUCAGAGCUGACUUAUCACUGGCACCCUGCUGUUUCUUCUGCUUCAGCUGUAAUUUCAUAUCUUCGCCACACGAUGGAAACCCUGAGGCAACAACUUUUUAUUUAUUUAUUUUCUUGCAUGUUUUAUUGGAAGGAUCAUUAGAUAUAUCACUCUACACCCGUCAAAAAGAUGAUGACUUAAAGUCAAAGGCAAUACGUGUGACCGACCAGGACGCAAAUGAAUCGCCCUGGUAAAAGAAGAAAUCCAUUUACAUUCCCUGCACCACUGAAAACUCUGCCACCAAUAAUAACAGAAGGAAAGAAAAAAAAAGGGAUCAGGCUCGGGUUUGGUGCAACCUAGAGCAAACCACUGCAGAGCCCAGUGCCAGUGCUGCUGGGACAUAAUUAGGUGUUAAUAUUGUUACCUCAUCAUUAAAGCCAUGCAUGGAUUACAUAACGUGCAAUACAGCAAUCUGGAACCUCGUGCUAUUCUGCUGCGCUGGAUUUGAGGUCAUCAUGCGAUUGGAUAGAACAAAAAAAUGCGCAUAAGAGAAGAAAACUGCUUUGUUAGCGACUAAAAUAGUUCAAAGGCGUGUGCAGCGCAGGAGCGCAUUUUACACUCAGUGUUGCACCUUGUCAAUAUUUUAACACGAAGCCUGAGAAACAAUAA